rnacentral:rRNA from 1 species
GACGAACGCUGGCGGCGUGCCUAAUACAUGCAAGUCGAACGAGAGCGACCGGUGCUUGCACUGGUCAAUCUAGUGGCGAACGGGUGAGUAACACGUGGGUAACCUGCCCAUCAGAGGGGGAUAACAUCCGGAAACGGAUGCUAAAACCGCAUAGGUCUUCGAGCCGCAUGGCUUGAAGAGGAAAAGAGGCGCAAGCUUCUGCUGAUGGAUGGACCCGCGGUGCAUUAGCUAGUUGGUGAGGUAACGGCUCACCAAGGCCGUGAUGCAUAGCCGACCUGAGAGGGUGAUCGGCCACAUUGGGACUGAGACACGGCCCAAACUCCUACGGGAGGCAGCAGUAGGGAAUCUUCCGCAAUGGACGCAAGUCUGACGGAGCAACGCCGCGUGAGUGAAGAAGGUUUUCGGAUCGUAAAACUCUGUUGUUAGAGAAGGACAAGUGCUAGAGUAACUGUUAGCGCCUUGACGGUAUCUAACCAGAAAGCCACGGCUAACUACGUG